GAACGCUGGCGGUAUGCCUAACACAUGCAAGUCGAACGAUUUUCGGAUAGUGGCGGACGGGUGAGUAACACGUAAGUUAUCUGCAUUUAGGAAAAGAAUAACAAAUGGAAACGUUUGCUAAUACUUUGUAAUCUCAGUUUGAGUGAAAGAUUUAUCGCCUGAAUAUGAGCUUGCGGCUGAUUAGCUUGUUGGUGAGGUAAUGGCUUAACAAGGCUUUGAUCAGUAGCUGUUUUGAGAGAAAUAACAGCCAGCACUGGGAUUGAGAAACGGAACAGACUCCUACGGGAGGCAGCAGUGGGGAAUAUUUGGCAAUGGGUGAAGGCCUGACCAAGCAAUACCGCGUGGAGGAAGAAGGUCUUUGGAUUGUAAUCUCCUUUUCUCAUUGAAGAAUUUUUGACGGUAAAUGAGGAAUAAGCAUCGACUAACUUCGUGCCAGCAGUCGCGGUAAUACGAGGGAUGCAAGCGUUAUCCGGAAUUAUUGGGCGUAAAGCGUCUGUAGAUGGUUCAUUAAGUCUGAUGUUAAAUAUUAAAGCUUAACUUUGAAACAGCAUUAGAAACUGGUAAACUUGAGUAUGAUAGAGGUAGAGGGAAUUUUCAGUGUAGUGGUGAAAUACGUAGAUAUUGAAAAGAACACCAAUGGCGAAAGCACUCUACUAGGUUAAUACUGACAUUGAGAGACGAAAGCUAAGGGAGCAAAAAGGAUUAGAGACCCUUGUAGUCUUAGCUGUAAACGAUGGAUACUAAAUGGUGCUUUUUGUACUGUUGUAGCUAACGCGUUAAGUAUCCCGCCUGGGGAGUACGCUUGCAAAAGUGAAACUCAAAGGAAUUGACGGGGGCCCGCACAAGCGGUGGAGCAUGUGGUUUAAUUCGAUGCAACACGAAGAACCUUACCAGGACUUGACAUGUUGGAAAAUUUUUUGAAAGAAAAAUGUGCCUUAUGGAAUCCAAACACAGGUGGUGCAUGGCUGUCGUCAGCUCGUGUUGUGAAAUGUUGGGUUAAGUCCCGCAACGAGCGCAACCCUUUUCUUUAGUUACUUUUCUAAAGAUACUGCCGGUGAUAAACCGGAGGAAGGUGAGGAUGACGUCAAGUCAGCAUGCCCCUUAUGUCCUGGGCUACACACGUGCUACAAUGGUUAAGACAACGAGUUGCAACUUUGCAAAGAGAAGCUAAUCUCUUAAACUUAAUCUUAGUUCGGAUGGUAGACUGAAACUCGUCUGCCUGAAGUUGGAAUCGCUAGUAAAAACUGGUCAGCUAUACAGUUUUGAAUCCGUUCUCGGGCCUUGUACACACCGCCCGUCACAUUGUUAAAGUUGACUAAACCUUAAGUAGUUCCUUUAACAUAAUUGAGAAGUGCUACCUAGGGUUGGGUUGGUAAUAACAAUGAAGUCGUAACAAGGUAGCCGUACU
rnacentral:rRNA from 1 species